rnacentral:tRNA from 1 species
GCCGGCCUAGCUCAAUUGGUAGAGCAACUGACUUGUAAUCAGUAGGUUGGGGGUUCGAGUCCUCUGGCCGGCA